CUGCCAAAAUGCAUUAAAAAACCUGGAUCACACUUCUGAACUGAUUCUACUUUCUGACAUUGCUGCGGUUCCUUGCCCAUCAAUAGGGGAAGGAAGAUGGAUCUACUGCUGAAAUGCUACAUAAUGAAUAUGCACACAUCACAGAGAUGACAAAAGUAAAAUAACAUGUCUGAAUGCCAAAUUGAAACACUGAGAUGUAUGCCUCUUUCAAAAGCAGUGUAUGAUGCGAUUUGUCUGCAACAACCCUUUGCAACAAUCACAGGAGAAGGAGCAACAACAAUGGCAAGGCUUGAAAGAGUUACACUGGCAGUCCUGCAAAAGUAUUUUAAAACAUGGCUUUUCUCAUGCUACAUUCUUAUGAUAGUGCAGAAAGCCCAUGGACCUUCAUACAUCAGUAACAGAUUUGUUAAUACUUUACUCUUCAAUGAAUAAAUGGAUGUCAAUGAUGAUACAAGAGUGGACUGAGAGAAAGACAAAACCACCUUAUCUCCAGGGACAAAGAAACAAGUGAGAAAAUACGUCUUGAUUGUUUGAAAGAAGCAUCCUAUUGUUUUGUGACACUUUCCACAUCUGUCCACAGGUAUUUCUCACCCCUUGCCCCAUAUAAAAAGAUUUUCUUCCUUUUCAGUGUCACUUUUGAAACAUCAAGUUUUCCCUUUUUCCAUUUUGUCUUUGUUAUGUGAUUUCACUGAAAUUAUGAUUCCACAGGGGAAAAAAUGUUCAAGCCAAUCCUAGUGACAUAGUACGUGAAUACUGCAAAAAUUUAAAUGCACACGCAAAUGCACAUCCUAACAAAGCAUUUUGAUGGGGGUUUUUUUGUUGUUUUUUGGAUUUGACAAGAAAUUUAGCCCACAUGAUUCUGGAAGUAACAUGAACUUUAGGGCAGAAAUCAAGAAGACUGAAAACAUAGGUCCAGCUGCUAAAGCAAUAGUGACACAUCCUCUCCUGCCACCUUCCUAAUUUAUACCUUCACAACCUUCAUGAAAAGUAAGGGGGGAAAGUAUGAGAACAUAUUUACAAAAGUCUGGCAAUUGUAACUCAACUUUGGCUGAUCCUCAAGCUAUACAACUCCUUGUUUUAUAUCUAAAAUCUGAGCUCUGCAUAUCCAGUGUACAGUGGACCCUUUGUAUCUAUGAAGGUUUGGUUCCAGGACUCACUGUGGAUACCAACAUUUCUGAAUGCUCAAGUCCAAUUAUAUACAGUGUCAUAGUAAAAUGGUAUCCCUUAUUUAAAAUGGCAACAUUCAAGAUUUGCUUUGAGGUUUUUUAAAAGUAGUUUCAAGCCAUAGAUGGUGGAAUCCAUAGAUGCAGAAACUGUGACUAUGGAGGACUGACCCUA
rnacentral:lncRNA from 11 species